rnacentral:rRNA from 1 species
CACGUAGGGGGCGAGCGUUGUCCGGAUUUAUUGGGCGUAAAGAGCUCGUAGGUGGCUCGGUAAGUCGGGUGUGAAAUUUCGAGGCUCAACCUCGAGACGCCACCUGAUACUGCUGUGGCUAGAGUCCGGUAGGGGAGCGUGGAAUUCCUGGUGUAGCGGUGAAAUGCGCAGAUAUCAGGAGGAACACCAGCGGCGAAGGCGGCGCUCUGGGCCGGUACUGACACUGAGGAGCGAAAGCGUGGGGAGCAAACAGG